UGGUGAGUUAUCAUGCAUGGGAAUUGAAGAACAUCAUCACAAUACAAAAGGUUCAAGAAGAAAACUUGCACUCAUGAAGGAGGAGAGCAGAAAUUUAUAUAUAUACACAUAUUGUUAGACUCAGUGAUUGCGUUGAUCAUUUUCUGUUCAGUAGAUUUCUCUCCAUAUAGGAUGUGAAGAAGGGGAUAAUCCAGAUAUGAUGAGAUGGAAUAUAAAAUACAUAAGUUUAUUAAGACCAUGAUAGUUAUAUGUAUGCAAAAGCAAACUAUAUAGAGGAGAAACUACCCAAAUUUUGGAGAACAAUUUGAGUUCAACUAAUAAAGAUGAAGAGCAAAUGCCUUUGAGGACCAUGAUGCCAAUUUUCUUUGGAGGGAGUUCCUCUCUUUGAGUGCAAGUGCAGGUGAAGAAGAAGAAAAGGGUUUGUGUUUGUUGUUGGAAUCAGAAUCCAUG